AAUCGCUGCCCUCCUUGGGCGUUUCCUCCCUGGACUUGGGCCGCGCGCGAGCGCGGCCCCUUUUAUGUGCGAUC
rnacentral:sRNA from 1 species